UCGUCAGAUUAUAGAAACAGAUUUAUCAGCAACAUGCUUUGUCAACUGUACAAUACUUACUUUCAGCUGCAAGCGUUGUCAGCAUUUUGUAAUUGUAUACUUGUACAAUGUCUUGAAACGUCUUGCUAAAAUCUGAA